AUACGGAGGGUGCAAGCGUUAUCCGGAUUCACUGGGUUUAAAGGGUGCGUAGGUGGGUUGGUAAGUCAGUGGUGAAAUCCCCGAGCUUAACUUGGGAACUGCCAUUGAUACUAUCAGUCUUGAAUACCGUGGAGGUCGGCGGAAUAUGUCAUGUAGCGGUGAAGUGCUUAGAUAUGACAUAGAACACCAAUUGCGAAGGCAGCUGGCUACGCGGAUAUUGACACUGAGGCACGAAAGCGUGGGGAUCAAACAGGAUUAGAUACCCUGGUAGUCCACGCCCUAAACUAUGGAUACUCGACAUUUGCGAUAAACUGUAAGUGUCUGAGCGAAAGCAUUAAGUAUCCCACCUGGGAGGUACGAUCACAAGAUUGAA
rnacentral:rRNA from 1 species